rnacentral:rRNA from 1 species
GAAUUGUUCGCAAUGGGCGCAAGCCUGACGACGCAACGCCGCGUGGAGGAUGAAGCUCUUCGGGUCGUAAACUCCUGUCGAGCGGGACGAAUGUUCCGUGGGCUAACAUCCCGCGGAAGUGACGGUACCGCUACAGGAAGCCCCGGCUAACUCCGUGCCCGCAGCCGCGGUAAUACGGGGGGGGCAAGCGUUGUUCGGAAUUACUGGGCGUAAAGGGCUCGUAGGCGGCCAACUAAGUCGGAUGUGAAAUCCCCAGGCUUAACCUGGGAACUGCAUCCGAUACUGGAUGGCUUGAAUUCGGGAGAGGGAUGCAGAAUUCCAGGUGUAGCGGUGAAAUGCGUAGAUAUCUGGAGGAAUACCGGUGGCGAAGGCGGCAUCCUGGACCGACAUUGACGCUGAGGAGCGAAAGCCAGGGGAGCAAACGGG